rnacentral:rRNA from 1 species
AACGAACGCUGGCGGCGUGUCUUAAGCAUGCAAGUCGAGCGGCAAGGAAGUGCUUGCACUUCCCUAGAGCGGCGGACUGGUGAGUAACGCGUGGGUGAUCUACCUCGGGGUUGGGGAUAGCCAUUAGAAAUAGUGGGUAAUACCGAAUACGCUUCCAGGGCUACGGCCUUGGAAGGAAAGGCGCUACGGCGCCGACCUGAGAUGAGCCCGNGUCCCAUUAGCUAGUUGGUGAGGUAACGGCCCACCAAGGCGAUGAUGGGUAGGCGGCCUGAGAGGGUGUACGCCCACAUUGGGACUGAGAUACGGCCCAAACUCCUACGGGAGGCAGCAGCUAAGAAUAUUCCGCAAUGGACGAAAGUCUGACGGAGCGACGCCGCGUGGAUGAUGAAGGCCGGAAGGUUGUAAAAUCCUUUUGUCGGGGAAGAAUAAGCGCGGGAGGGAAUGCCCGCGUGAUGACAUGAACCGGCGAAUAAGCCCCGGCUAACUACGUGCCAGCAGCCGCG